GAUGAACGCUGGCGGCGUGCUUAACACAUGCAAGUCGAACGAUGAAGCCCAGCUUGCUGGGUGGUUUAGUUGCGAACGGGUGAGUAACACGUGAGUAACCUGCCCUUAACUCUGGGAUAAGCCGGGUAAACUGGGUCUAAUACCGGAUAGGAGCGUCCACCGCAUGGUGGGUGUUGGAAAGAUUUAUCGGUUUUGGAUGGAUUCGCGGCCAAUCAGCUUGUUGGUGAGGUAUUGGCUCACCAAGGCGACGACGGGUAGCCGGCCUGGGAGGGUGAACGGCCACCAUGGUACUGAGACAGGGAGCAGAAUGGAACGGGAGGCAGCGGUGGGGAGUAUUGCACAAUGGGCGCAAGUCUGAUGCAGAGACGCCGCGUGCGUAAUGCUGGCUUAUGAGUUGAAAACCACUUUCUGUGUGGAAGAAGAGAAAUUGACGGUACCUGAAGAGGAAGCCCCGGCUAACUACGUG
rnacentral:rRNA from 1 species